GAAGCCCCAGUAAACGGCGGCCGUAACUAUAACGGUCCUAAGGUAGCGAAAUUCCUUGUCGGGUAAGUUCCGACCUGCACGAAUGGCAUAAUGAUGGCGGCGCUGUCUCCAGCAGAGGCUCAGUGAAAUCGAAAUCGCUGUGAAGAUGCAGUGUACCCGCGGCUAGACGGAAAGACCCCGUGAACCUUUACUGCAGCUUGACACUGAACUUUGACCUUACUUGUGUAGGAUAGGUGGGAGGCUUUGAAGCUGGAACGCUAGUUCCAGUGGAGCCGUCCUUGAAAUACCACCCUGGUAAUGUUGAGGUUCUAACUCUGUCCCGUGAUCCGGGACGAGGACCGUGUCUGGUGGGUAGUUUGACUGGGGCGGUCUCCUCCUAAAGAGUAACGGAGGAGUACGAAGGUGCGCUCAGCGUGGUCGGAAAUCACGCGUAGAGUAUAAAGGCAAAAGCGCGCUUAACUGCGAGACCCACAAGUCGAGCAGGUACGAAAGUAGGUCUUAGUGAUCCGGUGGUUCUGUAUGGAAGGGCCAUCGCUCAACGGAUAAAAGGUACUCUGGGGAUAACAGGCUGAUACCGCCCAAGAGUUCAUAUCGACGGCGGUGUUUGGCACCUCGAUGUCGGCUCAUCUCAUCCUGGGGCUGAAGCAGGUCCCAAGGGUAUGGCUGUUCGCCAUUUAAAGAGGUACGCGAGCUGGGUUUAGAACGUCGUGAGACAGUUCGGUCCCUAUCUACCGUGGGCGCUGGAAAUUUGAGAGGAUCUGCUCCUAGUACGAGAGGACCAGAGUGGACGAACCUCUGGUGUACCGGUUGUGACGCCAGUCGCAUCGCCGGGUAGCUAUGUUCGGAAGGGAUAACCGCUGAAAGCAUCUAAGCGGGAAGCCUACCUCAAGAUAAGAUUUCCCUAGGACUUUAUGUCCUCUAAAGAGCCGUUCGAGACUAGGACGUUGAUAGGUUGGAUGUGGAAGCAUAGUGAUAUGUGAAGCUGACCAAUACUAAUUGCUCGUGAGGCUUGACUAU
rnacentral:rRNA from 2 species